AGGAUGAACGCUAGCGGCAGGCCUAAUACAUGCAAGUCGAACGGUCGGUAGCAAUACUGAUAGUGGCGCACGGGUGCGUAACGCGUAGCCAACCUACCCACAUCUGGGGGAUAGCCCGCCGAAAGGCGGAUUAAUACCGCAUAAGACAGCGGAGCGGCAUCGCUUGGUUGUUAAAGAUUUAUUGGAUGUGGAUGGGGCUGCGUGCCAUUAGCUAGUUGGGGGGGUAACGGCCCACCAAGGCGACGAUGGCUAGGGGAGCUGAGAGGCUGGUCCCCCCACACGGGCACUGAGAUACGGGCCCGACUCCUACGGGAGGCAGCAGUAGGGAAUAUUGGGCAAUGGAGGAGACUCUGACCCAGCCAUGCCGCGUGCCGGAUGAAGGCCUUCUGGGUCGUAACGGCUUUUUUCCGGGAAGAACCGGUCCUGUGCGCAGGGCUCUGACGGUACCGGGAGAAUAAGCACCGGCUAACUCCGUGCCAGCAGCCGCGGU
rnacentral:rRNA from 1 species